rnacentral:rRNA from 1 species
GAUGAACGCUGGCGGCGUGCUUAACACAUGCAAGUCGAACGAUGAAGCCCCUGCUUGCAGGGGUGGAUUAGUGGCGAACGGGUGAGUAACACGUGAGCAACCUGCCCCUGACUCUGGGAUAAGCGCUGGAAACGGUGUCUAAUACUGGAUAUGUGCCACGGCCGCAUGGUCUGGGGUUGGAAAGAUUUUUCGGUUGGGGAUGGGCUCGCGGCCUAUCAGCUUGUUGGUGAGGUAAUGGCUCACCAAGGCGUCGACGGGUAGCCGGCCUGAGAGGGUGACCGGCCACACUGGGACCGAGACACGGCCCAGACUCCUACGGGAGGCAGCAGUGGGGAAUAUUGCACAAUGGGCGGAAGCCUGAUGCAGCAACGCCGCGUGAGGGAUGACGGCCUUCGGGUUGUAAACCUCUUUUAGCAGGGAAGAAGCGAAAGUGACGGUACCUGCAGAAAAAGCACCGGCUAACUACGUGCCAGCAGCCGCCGUAAAAC